AAGGCACCGGCUUGCCCCUUCGUGCUCCCAUUCGCCCUUUCUCUCUGGAUCCCCUCUUCUCUCCCAUGGUCCUCUCUCUCUCUCUCUUCCCCAACUGCCACCGCCACCAUCGUCGCCUGGUUCCGGCCAGCUCCGACGAAGUCCGUCACCAUCCAGCACAUCCACGAGGUCAUCUCGUGAAGCUGCUCCUUCUCCACCAUGUUGAUCCAUCGCGCCGCUCCUCUACGCGCGGCCCGGGCUAACCCUAGCACCGCGGUCAUCGGUGCACUACACGGCAUCGCCAUGGACGCCGGUGUUGCGCCUGCGGCUCCGAUCGGUCCUCCCCGACGCGGCCUCGGCUAACCCUAGCACCGCGGUCAUCGGUGCACUACACGGCGUCACCAUGGACGCUGGCGCUGCGCCUGCGGCUCCGAUCAGUCCUCCUCGACCCCGCCUAAGUCCUUGCGCACUACAUCGCCUCCUGGUCGUUGUUCCAGGCGCCUCCAUCGACUGGAGGAGCGAUGGGCCCUUGUCCUCGUGCCAGUGCGCGUCCGUGAAGGAAAUGAACCGAGAUGUGCCGCCUCAGAUCCACUGUGUGAAGGGGGAUGGAUCACAAAGGGAGAGGUGCAGUCCUCCAGAGCUGUUGGAUCCCAAAAUUGGAAGAGUCACUUGGUUGUUUGAUGCGUUCGUGCUCGUCGGCGGGAUGGUGCAACACGCAACUCCGAUGCGGUUCCUCGCCGGUUGGACGGUGUUCAGGCGCAACCCCGGUGCUCACUGAGUACUGCCUCGGCUACAACCUCCCACGAUGAGGUCCAUCUUCCUCCUGCUCCUCAGUGAUUUGGCGUUCUGGGCCAUUGGAUCUGAUUGCUUGAUGUGUUCUUGUUCGUCGGAUCAAGCCACCGGAUGUCCAGAAAAACGAGACCGCUUGGAACCCCUGGCUCCUCAGCGAUUUGGGCCUCCUGGCCGUUAGAUUCGUUUGCUUGAUGCGAUUCCGGCCGUCGGAUCGGGCAAUGGGAUGACCUGCGCCGUCGGAUCAACUCGUUGCUCCUGUCGCAAUGAAAGUCACUGUUUCCCUGGUUUUUUGCUUACUCCGCCAUUUCGACCAUAUUUCGCUGGUGUGUGGGCUUUCCAGCAUGUGGGCCCGCCUUGUUCAGUGAUCGUGGCUAUGUGCUUUGGCUGUGUGGCCCGUGAGGCGCGUGGGCUGGCAAAUAUCUUGUGCCACCGCAAGAAAUAACAUGCCCCCGCGGAGGGUAUUUUGGUCUUUUCAUGAUUUGGCCUUAUGUGUGAUGGACUGUGGCUGGCCCGUGCAUGGAUGAGGUGGGUGACGGCACCGCCUUGCCCCUUCGUGCUCCCAUUCGCCCUUUCUCUCUGGAUCCCCUCUUCUCUCCCACGACCCUCUCUCGUGCUGGGGCGAUGAUGAUUAGCCGUGGCUGAAAUAAGUGUGCCUUUGAGCAAUCGAGGCACCUGUGGGUAUCAAGUUGAAUCCUCCCUCUUGUCUCUAGAAUCCUUUUUGAUCAUGUGAUACUUGUUGCUCUAUCCUUGGAUGGCCAUUCUUGUUGAGUGAUAACCAGGGUAGCUCCACUGUGUAAAUAGAUUGAUUGAUCUGGUGAUAAGAGACAGGGGUAGGUUAUAUGAUCGAGGCAAGUCAGAUCUGAGUCCACUAUGCAAUGAACCCUGGACCCUUUUAUUUGUAUUUAAAGGUGUUGCUUAUUUAUGCUCCACUGUUUAUAGUCGUCUUAUGUAAAGAUUUCUUCUCUCUCAUACCUUUAUUGCAUACGAGUUGUUCUUGAUCUUUUAUUGUUUGUUGUUGGUCCUUAAUUUAAUCUAGUUGAGAGUAAGCUGUACUUUGUUAUACUAGAAAGACUCGCUCCCAACAAGUUAUCGGAGCCGCUCUUGUUGCCUUAAGUUUGUAUGGUAAAAAUAUGCCUUGGCACGAGGGUGCUGGUCCCAACAUUUUGGUCACGCGAAUACUAGAAAAACUUGCAGGUUCGGCCCUGGAGGUUCCCAGGUUCGACUCCGAGAGCUGCUCGCUUUCUGAGGAGCCCCUGGCGAGGAUUGUGCUCAGAGACGACCCACACGACGCUCCGCUCGCUGUCGUGGUGCAGCCCUUUUGAAAGUUCCCGAGAUAGCUGAUUGGUGCUACAUGAUAUCGUGAUAGUUUGGCGCUCUCAUGGUUCUUUUCGAGAGAUCAUUCUUCCAAGCAUUAUUUGGUAACCAUCUACUGUAGAUCAUCUACUGCCCUUAUGGUGAGUCAUUAAUGGUGCAUGUUUUACUGUUAGUUUCUCUAAGCGGAGCACCCCUUCAUGCCCCAAGCCGUGGUCAGUAUCCUAAUUAACCUGCUGCUUCUUGGAUUAUUAUUAAUUAGAGAGACAAGAUCAAUGGAGCUUGUUGUAUACUCUAAGUUUGUUUUACUUCAUGGAGAAAAGAACAAGAGAGCCCUUUCUUAGAGGGGCGUUCACGUGGAUGACCGAACAGUAGUUAUGAUCAGUUAAUCGCUCCCCUCAUUUUUGUGCAUUAUUCUCACAUAGAAAAUAAUGUUUGUGCCUCUCUUUUCUCAAGUUCACGCGUUGUACUGGAGAUUACUGUAAGACACAAGCAGAAAUGAUGAUGUGGUAGUCAAGUUCUUUGUGGAAAGCUUGCCUUGGUUGAUCUUGCGGGCAGGUAAUAGUAUUAUUUUUGGGCUGCUGUUUUCUUUUCACUCUAUCAACAGAAGUAAACUGCAGGUAUUGGUGCUUCCACAGAUUUUUCCUUUUGGUGUAGUUAGUUCACCUUUCUUUUCUUAUUGGGUGUAUAUACCACCUACACAGUCUGUGAAUUGAGUUUUUUCAGCUGUUUGAAGUAUGUUAAUCCAUCAUGUGCUAAUUUUAACACGAGUCGGCUUCUCGAAGGGAAGAAGCUUGGGCUGGUGUGGAGAGAACCUUGAACUCUCGCCUUCAGGCCUGCUCUGUUCUGAUUUUGGGGACAGAAGGAAUGGGCGUAAAUUGUGCCAUUAGUAGCUAUUUUCAUGUAGUUUAUGCUUUUCUUCCCUUUUACUUAUCAUACAUAAACACAUUACUCACUUAUUUUCAUUCCUUGAUUUUUUUGAGAUAUUACAUAGCAUGUUGUCUGAAAACAUUAGCAAGUUCCUUUAAUUCACCGCUUCAUAUGUCUCAGAUUGUUGAAGUUUUCCUUUUGUUCUGCUAUGUGCUUUCAAGCCCCGAUUUAUUAACUUUCUUAUAAGAUUGUUUAGUUUAUCCUAUUAGAUUCGAAAUCCAACUUUGGGAAGCUGCUUGAGGAGGUUUCUCAUGGUCUUUUUAUGUGUGAUUCUUCCUAUAAUGGUUGAAUUGGUAAUGUUGCGUGCAUACAAUCAAAGCACCGAAUGAGACGAUAGUAAUGAUAGUCAGACAGUUUUUUUCUUAAGAAUGAGUUUAGUUUUUCCUUCCUCUUUCACUAAAAUGUGUUCUAACAUUUUCUUAAGUACAAAAUUAUGGCAGUGCACAUAUAUGAUUAAUUUGUUCUUCUUUCAUGUUGGAGAGAGUGGCAGUGCGCUGAUUAAGCUACAUUCUUUCCUAUUAGAGAGUUGUGUAUAUUCUCUUGCUACUUAAUGUUUUCUUUGCUUUUCCUGCACACAAUGGUUAGUAUUAUCCUGUCAGUCGGUUAGUUUAUAUAUAGCUUCAGUUCUAGUUGUAGGACAUGUGCUGCUCAAAGUCCUAAUGCAUUGAGUGCAUGUUGUUUUGCUUUAGCUUUAGUCUUCUGUUCGGUAAUUGCUGCUUCCCUUGAAAUAAACUGACACUUUGUAUGAUUGAUUACUCAUUACUCAGAGAGCCACAACCAUGCAAGGAAAUCUUAACAUCCAGCCGGUCGAUCGCUUGCUUGAUCAGUGCAUGGACAUCAUUUUCCUGCCACGGCUUCGUAAACAGAUCUGCACGUCGACCACUCUUCUCCUCCUCAUUACUCCUCUUUUUUCCCUAGGGUGGUGUUUGUACAUCAUGGUUUUCUGGUGUUAGCGUGUGUUGUUUUCAGUGGAGUAUAGGCCUAUAGGUAUAUGCUUUUUGUUUAUUUUCUUCUUCCUGGUAGAUCCUACGUCUGUUGUUCCUUUUGUGCAUGGAUUUUUGUGUUUUUUCUCUCUCCCCACUUGAUGUAUUUAUAUUUAUCCAAUGAAAAAGCACCUUGCUUGCUUUUGUAGCUACAAAAACUCUCUAUUUGUUUUAAUAUACACUUGCAUAUAUUGUUUAAAUGAAGCAUUAAGAAUUGUUUGAGAUGCUGAGGUCCUAUUUACAUUUAUAUUGUUUGGAUCGAUAUUUAAUGGUGCAUUUCAAAACUGCAUAUGCAGGAGAGGCUCACACUGAGGGAAGGCUAAAUUGUGGGUGAUGCUAUCCCACUAGGAUUGUGUCAUCACCACCUACAUAAUUAGUCCCAGGAAAAAUAUAAAGUAUACCAAGGUAUUUGUUGUCCAGGCAUAGGUCGCUUCCAGGGCCGUCUCGGCCCGAUCCCGCAGUACUCCUUCCCUUCAAUGUAGUUUCUCUCUUCCUAGGAUGGCCUGGAUGGCCCUAGCUGGGCAGCCUUUGAUACGCCGUGUUAGGCGCCUAGGUGUUGCCUUCCUGAUAAAUCCGGCUGCCACCGACCGGCACGAGCUCGCUUCGGCCCCUCCUCUUCCCCCUAACAGCCUCCUCCUCCGAUCUUGCAGCUACUGCCUCAUCGACAACCUACAACAAAAAAGGUUCGUGUUAGGCGGUCCCUCUAAAGUACAUCGACAAGGCACAUGGACUACGCCACUUAUUAGUAUGCUUAGUGAUUAUGGCUCCGUAGUUGGCUCUGUUUAUUAUUUCAUGUUCUUUGUGUGUUAUUGCUUUCGGUAUUGAACUUCAUGUCGAAUGGCUAUAUUUUGUUGUUGUAUGAACACGCCGAGAUUGAUCCCGCCUUAUAAACUGAUGUUGAUCUUGUGCUCCA